rnacentral:lncRNA from 1 species
CCAAGAGUUUCCCCCAAACAGGAUAAUCUCACACCUAUAAUUUCUCUGAUGGGUGUUGUUAACUGUGACUCCAUUCAUCAUCUUUUCUGUCCCUGCUGUAUAAAUCAGCUCUCCUGGCCUUGGCUUGUAUGUGUUCUAUUUUCGCUAUCUCCCCAUAAAAUUGUUACUUUUGGAUGCUGAAAGGGGAAGGACAACUUUCUUGUUUAAAAUCAUCAUCACCAUUUGUGACAGAAAAAUCAUUCUCUAAAAGAUACUUAUAUCCUAGUCACUUGAGUCUGUGAUCCUUACACUCUAUAAGCUAAAAGGGGGAUGUGUGAUGGGGGAAGAGUUUACAGAUGUGAUUAAGGAUUUUUAGAUGAGGAGAUUAUGCUGUAUUAGCCAGGCAGGCCCUAACUGUAAUCAGGUCUAUCCUUAUAAGAGAGAGACAGAGGAAAUCUGACACAGAGAGAAAGCUAUGGGGAGAUGAAGCAGAGAGGAAUUUGAAAAUUUUCCCUUAAGAUUAAAGUGAUGUGGCUAUAAGCCAAUGAAUACUGGCAGCACUAAAAGCUAGAAGAGGC